AUUCAUAACCUCUGACACUUUAUAGACCUAGAUAAUGCGCUUCGUACAGUUUGAGAGGGGCGGGGACCGACGCGUGGGGGUGGAGAUUCGGGAUGGAGGGGACAUCGUGGACUUGUGUGCUGGAGAUUCCAGUAUACCAUCAGACAUGCGGAGCUUUAUUGAGGGUGGCCAAAAGACAUUGCUUGCGGCAAAAAGUGUGAUAGACAGGGGUGGAUCAAUUAUUCCGAGGGACUCCGUCAAAAUAGUGGCCCCCAUCUACAAUCCCGACAAGGUGCUAUGUGUAGGGAUGAACUACAAAGACCACUGUGAGGAGCAGAAUGCCCCUGUACCCAUAGAACCAGUCAUCUUCAACAAAUUCCCAAGCAGCAUUAUAGGCCCCACAGAGGACCUUCAAUACCCAGAGGAAACACAGAAAUUGGACUGGGAAGUUGAGCUCACAAUUGUUAUUGGAAAAGAUGCCAAACGAGUUCAGGUGGAGUACAUGUACAAUAUGUAUUAUUUACUGUUUUUGUUUUUUGUAGAACAUAUACAUUAGAUAAAACAUAAUCAAAUUAAAUAAUUACAUGUACAGAUAAUUGUGAAAUUCAAAUAUCCUCAUCCAUUAAUCUAAUGUACCCAUCGCAAACAGGAAAGUGACGCAAUGAAUUACGUUUUUGGCUACACUGUGGCUCAUGACGUCAGCGCCCGGGACUGGCAGCUCGAGCCCGGGAAAAAUGGCGGACAGUGGCUGAUCGGGAAAGCCAUGGACGGCUUCUGCCCCUUGGGCCCCGCCAUUGUAAUGAAAGAAGACAUCAAUGAUCCACACAAUCUUGGAUUGCGAUGUAGAGUGAAUGGGGUAACCAAACAGGACAGUAACACCAAUCAACUCGUCCACAAGACCGCCGCCAUGGUAUCAUUUAUUUCCAGGUUUAUGACCUUACGGCCAGGGGACGUUAUUCUAACAGGUACCCCUCCCGGAGUUGGGGUCUUUAGAAAACCACCAGAAUACCUAAAGAGAGGUGACGUUGUAGAGUGUGAAAUUGAUGGCAUUGGAAAAGUGGUCAACAAGAUAGUGUAGAAAAAGGAACUUACUGCUGCAAAGCAUUUUCCUUGGCAGCAUAUUAUUUACAUUAUAGGUGUAGUAUAGUAUAUAAGGACACAACGUGAUCUGUAUGGGGUAAAAUUGGCGAAUGAAUUUUUAAAAAAAAAUUUUGUAAUAUUUUCACUUGCCAAGAUGAAAUGAUUAUGCGAGUUAGAAUGACAUACAAAUUAACAAUAAAUCCAUAUUCAAGAAAACCAUUUUUACUUGUUUUUAAACAAUUAUGUACCUACCUACAAUAAAUAAUAGUAU
rnacentral:misc_RNA from 1 species